AGAGUUUGAUCAUGGCUCAGGACGAACGCUGGCGGCGCGCCUAACACAUGCAAGUCGAACGAGCGAGAGAGAGCUUGCUUUCUCGAGCGAGUGGCGAACGGGUGAGUAACGCGUGAGGAACCUGCCUCAAAGAGGGGGACAACAGUUGGAAACGACUGCUAAUACCGCAUAAGCCCACGGGUCGGCAUCGACCAGAGGGAAAAGGAGCAAUCCGCUUUGAGAUGGCCUCGCGUCCGAUUAGCUAGUUGGUGAGGUAAUGGCCCACCAAGGCGACGAUCGGUAGCCGGACUGAGAGGUUGAACGGCCACAUUGGGACUGAGACACGGCCCAGACUCCUACGGGAGGCAGCAGUGGGGAAUAUUGCACAAUGGGGGAAACCCUGAUGCAGCGACGCCGCGUGGAGGAAGAAGGUCUUCGGAUUGUAAACUCCUGUUGUUGGGGAAGAUAAUGACGGUACCCAACAAGGAAGUGACGGCUAACUACGUGCCAGCAGCCGCGGUAAAACGUAGGUCACAAGCGUUGUCCGGAAUUACUGGGUGUAAAGGGAGCGCAGGCGGGAAGACAAGUUGGAAGUGAAAUCUAUAGGCUCAACCCAUAAACUGCUUUCAAAACUGUUUUUCUUGAGUAGUGCAGAGGUAGGCGGAAUUCCCGGUGUAGCGGUGGAAUGCGUAGAUAUCGGGAGGAACACCAGUGGCGAAGGCGGCCUACUGGGCACCAACUGACGCUGAGGCUCGAAAGUGUGGGUAGCAAACAGGAUUAGAUACCCUGGUAGUCCACACCGUAAACGAUGAUUACUAGGUGUUGGAGGAUUGACCCCUUCAGUGCCGCAGUUAACACAAUAAGUAAUCCACCUGGGGAGUACGACCGCAAGGUUGAAACUCAAAGGAAUUGACGGGGGCCCGCACAAGCAGUGGAGUAUGUGGUUUAAUUCGACGCAACGCGAAGAACCUUACCAAGUCUUGACAUCCCUUGACAGACAUAGAAAUAUGUAAUCUCUUCGGAGCAAGGAGACAGGUGGUGCAUGGUUGUCGUCAGCUCGUGUCGUGAGAUGUUGGGUUAAGUCCCGCAACGAGCGCAACCCUUAUGGUCAGUUACUACGCAAGAGGACUCUGGCCAGACUGCCGUUGACAAAACGGAGGAAGGUGGGGAUGACGUCAAAUCAUCAUGCCCUUUAUGACUUGGGCUACACACGUACUACAAUGGCGUUAAACAAAGAGAAGCAAGACCGCGAGGUGGAGCAAAACUCAGAAACAACGUCCCAGUUCGGACUGCAGGCUGCAACUCGCCUGCACGAAGUCGGAAUUGCUAGUAAUCGUGGAUCAGCAUGCCACGGUGAAUACGUUCCCGGGCCUUGUACACACCGCCCGUCACACCAUGAGAGCCGGGGGGACCCGAAGUCGGU
rnacentral:rRNA from 1 species